AACUGUGUUACAUUUUUCAAUUUUUGUUCAAUACUCUGACUAGUCUUGUUUUGACAUUCGAACUUGAUAUAUUAUUGUCCAGUUGAAACUUGCCUUGCCAGAAUUUUUAGUUAGUUAGCCUCCUCUACUUUUAGACAGCAAGUCCAUCGUAGAAUAAUUUAGUAGUAGAGUGCAUCAAUCUAAAUACACUUUAUAAUAUGUAAAGCUCAGAUUAUUCGUUUACUUGGUCUUUCAUCUGUCAAUUUUUUCCUCUUGGCAACUAAGAAAACAGUACAAUAGCUAUAGUUGCCCUCCCUCACAGAAUAAUCACAUUCUACUUUCUCGAUUUUAAAUUUCAAGAUUUCCGAAAUUUAGGCUGUGUUCACUUGGAUGGAAUGGAAUAUAGGGAAUGUGGAAUGAAAUUUGUAUUCUAAAUUGGAUGUGAUCGAAGGAAAUGUCUAUAGUUUUUAUUUCUUAAUUCCAUUCCAACUAUUUGAACUACAAAUUUAACUCAUAUAUUUUUGGAAAGAAUGCUCAGUGCGCUUAUUCAUCAUGUUUUCCUAUAAUUUUCAUCAUAACAAAUUUAUACCAAUUUAUGUUUAGUCACUAUUAUGUCAUACUUUCUUCUUUCUCCAUAUUUUCUUUUUUUUACAAUUUUUCAUUACAUUCUCCUCUAUUCCAUUCCAUCCAAUUGAAAGCAACCUUAAAAUUGUAUUCGGAUUUGAACUCCGGUACGGUGUUGCCUUAAAAAUCGCAUAUACUCAUACAUUACACUACACAUGCAUAGCUGCUUGCUUGGUAAUCCAUUUAAAAGAUAAAUUUGUGCUAGAAAAACAUUGGCACAACAGUUAUUUUUUGUGCUAUAAAAACAUUGGUGCAACAGUGAUUUAUAGUGCAUUUUUCACAACUAAUUAACCAGGAUGUAGUAAUAUAGGAAGAGGUAUGCAUUAUAAUUAAAAAGCAAUACAUAUUAAGACCUGAUUGCAUCCUAGCUGGGACGCGUUUGCAGCAAGGGAAAUAACGUGCCAAGGACUAGUAAUAACUCAACAAACGCCAGGUCCUCUGGCUAUUACAAUCUACCAAACUCAACUUACAAUGGCACACGUCUAACACAAACGUGCAUACAGCAUUCCCUUUAGAUGCCACUGCAUAUAUACAUGCUUCUAUUUAUGUAUGGAUCGCAGCUUUUGCAACUGUCUAUCUCUCAAGUCACUCGAAAUAAACCAGGCUCAAGAUUGUGAGAAAGUGUGUUCGUAAAAAUAUGUGAAAUCGAAUGAUUUCCAAGGGUUUGCUGGGUCAAAAGAUGGCAUUCUCGGAGGGAGGCUUGUAACUCCUCAAUGCAGUGAUGUUGGGAAGAUCCACAUCGAGUAAAAACAGAGGAUCAAUCCAAGACGCGUAUAUAUUGAGAAGUAUGUAUAAAAAUAAUAAAUUUUCAGUACCCAUCUCGCAGACAUGCAUGAGUUGCCAAAGGCGGACCUACGUUUACAGGAAUGGGGCAUGUCCCCCAAUCAAUUCUGAGCCCAAGUCUGUUUGAUGAAAUUCAGUACUAGUGUCCUGUAGUCUAGCAUAAUGGGAUGGUAUUUGUAGAAAAAAACAAGUUCCAAUUCAUUAAAAAUGCAAUUCUAACAGCUUAGUUUAGGUUCAAGAGCUGUUAGGUUCAAAUAUUACGUGUAUACGAUAUAUUUGGACAGAUUUUGGUCAUAUAAAAAGAGUUGUUGUGCUCCCAGUUAAUUUCGAUUCUGGGUCCGUAACUGUUUGCGUAUGUUUUUUUGGAAGAAUUGUGAUGUUUGUUGCCAUUAAGUAUCAUCUGAUUGUGAA